rnacentral:rRNA from 1 species
GCUAUACAGCUAGCUUAUCCACCAAAUCAAUACACCAACAUUAAAAACCUUUACAAAACUACAAUCAACGUAAAUCAAAACAUUUUACCGCCCAAGUAUGUGAGACAGAAAAGGCACCACACAAGCUACAGAAAAAGUACCGCAAGGGAACGCUGAAAGAGAAAUGAAAUAAAUCAUUAAAGCGCAACAAAGCAGAGACUAACCCUCGUACCUUUUGCAUCAUGAUUUAGCUACUCCUCCCGAGCAAAACGCAUUUUAGUUCGUAACCCCGAAACUAAGUGAGCUACCCCAAGACAGCCUAUUAAUUAGGGCCAACCCGUCUCUGUGGCAAAAGAGUGGGAAGAUCUUUGGGUAGGGGUGACAGACCUACCGAACUUAGUUAUAGCUGGUUGCCUAAGAAAUGGAUAGAAGUUCAGCCUCGUGCUCCUUAAAUCACAAACUACUUAAAAUUAUAUGAACAAGAGAAACACACGAGAGUUAGUCAAAGGAGGUACAGCUCCUUUGAAACAGGACACAACCUCAACAGGAGGUUAAAGAUUAUAUUAAACAAGAUAAACCGCUCUAGUGGGCCUAAAAGCAGCCAUCUAGACAGAAAGCGUUAAAGCUCUGGCGGAAUACAAAUCUAUUAUCCAAAUAUUUCAUCUAAAACCCCUAAUUAUAUUAGGCUAUUCCAUGCCAACAUGGAAGAAAUACUGCUAAAAUGAGUAAUAAGAAAGAACUUCUUUCUCCAAAACCCACGUGUACGUUAGAUCGGACCCACCACUAACAAUUAUCGAACCCAAUCAAAGAGGGAAAUAUGAUUAUAUUAAACAACAAGAAAUACUCAUAAAACAUUAUCGUUAAUCCCACACCAGAGGGUUAUUAAAGGAAAGACUAAAAGAAAAGGAAGGAACUCGGCAAACAUAAGCCUCGCCUGUUUACCAAAAACAUCGCCUCCUGCAAAAAACAACGUAUAGGAGGUCUUGCCUGCCCAGUGACUAGUUAAACGGCCGCGGUAUUUUGACCGUGCGAAGGUAGCGCAAUCACUUGUCUUUUAAAUGAAGACCUGUAUGAAUGGUGGAACGAGGGCUUAACUGUCUCCCUUUUCAAGUCAAUGAAAUUGAUCUCCCCGUGCAGAAGCGGGCAUGCCCAUACAAGACGAGAAGACCCUUUGGAGCUUAAGAUGUAAGAUCAACUAUGUUAAGAAUCACCUAAAUUAAUUAAACUAAAUAGCAACUGAUCCUUAUCUUCGGUUGGGGCGACCACGGGAGAAAACAAAGCUCCCACGUGGACUGGGACUUCCCCUAAAACUAAGAGAAACAUCUCUAAGUCACAGAACAUCUGACCAUAAAGAUCCGGCCACCGGCCGAUCAACGGACCAAGUUACCCUAGGGAUAACAGCGCAAUCCCCUUUCAGAGUCCAUAUCGACAAGGGGGUUUACGACCUCGAUGUUGGAUCAGGACAUCCUAAUGGUGCAGCCGCUAUUAAGGGUUCGUUUGUUCAACGAU